UGGGCAACCUGCCCCUCUCUCUGGGAUAACCCCGGGAAACCGGAGUUAAUACCGGAUACUCCGGCUGGAUCGCAUGGUCCGGCCGGGAAAGGUCCGCCGGAGAGGGAUGGGCCCGCGGCCUAUCAGCUUGUUGGUGGGGUCAUGGCUCACCAAGGCGACGACGGGUAGCUGGUCUGAGAGGAUGGCCAGCCACAUUGGGACUGAGACACAGCCCAGACUCCUACGGGAGGCA
rnacentral:rRNA from 1 species